AUUUAUUUUUUCUUGCCGUUAAAAGCUCGUACUUGGAUUUUUGGUUAAGAGGGCGCGGUCGGCCGUUUGGUCUGUAAUGUGCCAUCUUGACUUCCUGAUGAGGACAUGCUCUUGGUUAACGCUGCCACAUGGAGUCAUCGUGGUUACUUUGAAAAAAUUAAAGUGUUCAAAGCGGGCUUACGCUUGAAUAUAUUAGCAUGGAAUAACACUAUAGGACUCCUGUCCUAUCUCGUUGGUCUCGGGAUGGGAGUAAUGAUCAAGAGGAACAGUUGGGGGCAUUCGUAUUUCAUUGUCAGAGGUGAAAUUCUUGGAUUUAUGAAAAACGAACUUCUGCGAAAGCAUUUGCCAAGGAUGCUUUCAUUAUUCAACAACGAACGUUGGGGGCUCGAAGAUGAUUAGAUACCAUCCUAGUCUCAACCAUAAACGAUGCCGACUAUGUUUUUGUGGAUGUUAAUUGAUGACUUCUCCAUCCCCUACGAGAAAUCAAACUUUUUGGGAGCCGGGGGGAGUAUGGUCGCAAGACUGACACUUGCUGGGGUGACGGAAGAGCACCCCCACGCGGGGUGUCUCGGCUUCAUACGGUCCCCACGGAAAAUCUCACCACGGAAGGACAAUGCACCGAUUGACCCGAUUGAUGCUCUUUCUGAUUGCUUUGAAUGGUGAACGAGGGCGAUCUUAAAAGGAGUAGUGAGAAGGUUGGGUGCUUCCCAUAACCAACGAAAAUAUCGUCACGUUAAUAAACUCUGCUGCUCACCUGCUGUCUAGUGAUCUUUUUUUAAGGACUGGGCAGCUCUAAGUUGCAAGAAAAAUAGAAAGC
rnacentral:rRNA from 1 species